GAGGGUGUGGAGGGCUAGAGGACAUCUAGGAAGAAGAAAUAGCAUUGCCAGAUGUAUAGAAGUGUACAAUGGUAUUAUGCUUGGAAGACAAAAGUGAUUUUUUUUGUAAGUAGAUUGCAAGAUAUGUUUGGAUUGUGGUUGAGGUUGUUAAUAAAGAGAAGGGAUGGACUUUGUGAAACUUAUUAGACUUUUUCACCAUAGAAAAUGGGGAGCCAGUAAAGAUAUUUGAGUAGAAGAGAAAUAUAAUGGUUGUUUUGUUUUGUUUUAGGUUUUCCUAGGGAGCAUAUUUAAGAACUGAUCAGACUGAGGGCAGACAGUACAAUGAUGAGAUGGCUGCCAAAUGCCACUUACGGGUUUCAUAUUUCUUCCUCAGUUAAUUUUGUUAAUGGAAUUGUCUACUUCAUCUAAGUUCCAAAGUGCACUGACAUCAGAUCUCACUGAGAAGCUAAAAUGGAGCUAACUUGAUAGAUCCAUGUGCGGCUGCGAGGAAGGAAACCCUGAAUCGCUCUUAAUCCUUUUAAGCCUCUAAGACCACUUGGCCCUAGCCUUCUGCAUUGCAUUUCAAUAGGAGAGGUAAAACCUAGCAGACUGGGUGCCACCCUUAAUUGCACCCCUAUAGAUAGCAGGUAUGAUAUGGAGGAAUCUUUCCAGAAGGCACUGUUUUUGCUUAAACGUGAUCAAACCCCCACCCAGGUCAUGUACCCCUACACCUACUUCAUGGAUCAAGGCAUUUUCAUAUGUAAUUUCUGAGAUUGUGAGCCUUUAAAAGGGGACAGGAUUUUCCAGCCACGGAGCUCAGCUAUUGGGGCAUUCAGGCCCACUGCAGGUCCCAGAUGA